ACCAAGUUGGUUACCAUGCUAUGAGGAGAGGCCCAUGUGGCAAGGAAUUUGGCCUCCUGCCGCAAGCCAAUUAGGAACUGAGGCCUUCUGCAAUAACGAAACUCCAACAUUUACUAUUCUCUUGGACCUCUUUGAUGUGAUAGAAGAGGAGUCUCAAAAUCAAAUGUCUUCUGUGGCCAGGAAGAUGAACUAAAUGUACUAAGCAAAAUCAUCUGAGUAAUCAGGCAAUAGAGAGAAUGAAAAAUGCAAAAAUGCAAAGAGCUAUAAAGUGAUACCAUGCCAAAAUGUA